rnacentral:rRNA from 1 species
AUUGAACGCUGGCGGCAGGCCUAACACAUGCAAGUCGAACGGUAACAGGAAACAGCUUGCUGUUUCGCUGACGAGUGGCGGACGGGUGAGUAAUGUCUGGGAACUGCCUGAUGGAGGGGGAUAACUACUGGAAACGGUAGCUAAUACCGCAUAACGUCGCAAGACCAAAGAGGGGGACCUUCGGGCCUCUUGCCAUCGGAUGUGCCCAGAUGGGAUUAGCUAGUAGGUGGGGUAACAGCUCACCUAGGCGACGAUCCCUAGCUGGUCUGAGAGGAUGACCAGCCACACUGGAACUGAGACACGGUCCAGACUCCUACGGGAGGCAGCAGUGGGGAAUAUUGCACAAUGGGCGCAAGCCUGAUGCAGCCAUGCCGCGUGUAUGAAGAAGGCCUUCGGGUUGUAAAGUACUUUCAGCGGGGAGGAAGGGAGUAAAGUUAAUACCUUUGCUCAUUGACGUUACCCGCAGAAGAAGCACCGGCUAACUCCGUGCCAGCCGCCGCAGUAA